UCGAACUUCCGGAUUUUAAUG
rnacentral:piRNA from 1 species